AGACGGGGCCCGGCACAAGCGGUGGAGUAUGUGGUUUAAUUCGACGCAACGCGCAGAACCUUACCUAGACUUGACAUCCCGGGGAGUUUCUGGAAACAGAGAAGUGCUUUAGCAAUAAAGAACCCGGUGACAGGUGCUGCAUGGCUGUCGUCAGCUCGUGUCGUGAGAUGUUGGGUUAAGUCCCGCAACGAGCGCAACCCUCGCCUUUAGUUGCCAGCAUUCAGUUGGGCACUCUAGAGGGACUGCCGGUGUCAAACCGGAGGAAGUGGGGAUGACGUCAAGUCCUCAUGGCCUUUAUGUCUAGGGCUACACACGUACUACAAUGGCCGGUACAAAGGGCAGCCACUCAGCGAUGAGGCGCUAAUCCCAUAAAGCCGGUCUCAGUCCGGAUCGCAGUCUGCAACUCGACUGCGUGAAGCCGGAAUCGCUAGUAAUCGUGGAUCAGCAUGUCACGGUGAAUACGUUCCCGGGUCUU
rnacentral:rRNA from 1 species